AGAGCCACGUCCUAUUUAUUCCCAGGCCGUAGUACGUCUGAAACGGUAGUCAAGGAGGAGAGAUCAUGAAGAUGUCUAUAGUCGUAGUUGUAGCCCUCAUUGUCAUGGGCUCCGGUAUCGAUUUGUCAAUUGGAUGCUCAUGCAACGAUACUGGGUGCACGUACCACGAAGCUGUAGUCGGGAAUGUGUGGUGCUCUGGAGCCAGCUGUUAUAUACAGAAACAAGGGCUCCGGUCCUGCUGCAAAAGAACCCCUGGAUAACGUGGACAAAGCUCCUCACGAAACUUCUUCAGCAGAAGAGGCACCAGUGUUUCUAGGAUCGUCCACGGCUCCAUACGCAAUAUAAUGGAAAGACAAAAUGUUUACGCAGUUAAAUAUGCAUAUCGCAAGACAAUAAAGGUAUUAAAGACGAACUAUUGUAUCCAA